GACAGAGGGUGCGAACGUUGUUCGGAAUUACUGGGCGUAAAGCGUGUGUAGGCGGGUCGUUAAGUACCUUGUGAAAUCCCAUGGCUCAACCAUGGAACUGCUGGGUAUACUGGCGAUCUUGUGCAACCUAGGGGCGAGCGGAACAGAUGGUGGAGCGGUGAAAUGCGUAGAUAUCAUCUGGAACGCCAAUGGUGAAAACAGCUCGCUGGGGGUUUGCAGACGCUGAGACACGAAAGCCAGGGGAGCGAACGGG
rnacentral:rRNA from 1 species